GACGAACGCUGGCGGCGUGCUUAACACAUGCAAGUCGAACGGAAAGGCCCUGCUUUUGUGGGGUGCUCGAGUGGCGAACGGGUGAGUAACACGUGAGUAACCUGCCCUUGACUUUGGGAUAUCUUCAGGAAACUGGGGCUAAUACCGGAUAGGAGCUCCUGCUGCGUGGGGGGGGUUGGAAAGAUUCGGCGGUAGUGGAUGGACUCGCGGCUUAUCAGCUUGUUGGGCGGGUAGUGGCGUACCAAGGCUUUGACGGGUAGCCGGCCUGAGAGGGGGGCCGGCCACAUGGGGACUGAGAGACGGACCAGAAUGCUACGGGAGGCAGCAGGCGGGAAUAUUGCACAAUGGGCGGAAGCGUGAUGCAGCAACGCCGCGUGCGGGAUGACGGCUUUCGGGUGGUAAACCGCUUUCGACUGUGACGAAGCGUGAGUGACGGUAAUGGGUAAAGAAGCACCGGCUAACUACGUG
rnacentral:rRNA from 1 species